rnacentral:rRNA from 1 species
GAAAUAAGGUUAAGUUAAUAAGGGCGCACGGUGGAUGCCUUGGCACUAGAAGCCGAAGAAGGACGU